GAUGAACGCUGGCGGCGUGCCUAAUACAUGCAAGUCGAGCGAAGCGGGGACGGGUGAGUAACACGUGGAUAACCUCCUAUAAGACUGGGAUAAAUUCGGGAAACGGGAGCUAAACCGGAUAAUUAUUGAUGGAUCAGCGCUGCAUUAGCUAGAUGGUAAGGUAACGGCUUACAAAGUACACGAUGCAUAGCCGACCUGAGAGGCUGAUCGGCCAAACGUGAACUGAGACACGGUCCCGAAUCCUACGGGAGGCAGCAGUAGGGAAUCUUCCGCCAUGGGCGAAAGCCUGAAGGAGCAAAGCCGCGUGAGUGAUGAAGGUCUGCGGAUCGUAAAACUCUGUUAUUAGGGAAGCGGUACCUAAUCAGAAAGCCACGGCUAACUACGUGCCAGCAGCCGCGGUAAUUC
rnacentral:rRNA from 1 species